ACCGGGGGAUGUCUCCGAUGUAAAUCGGAGAAGUCAGCAGAGGUCAUAGUAGUUGGAGCAACGAGCCCGCAUUGACGGGAGGUCUCACACACCCAACGAAGGAC
rfam:Bacteroidetes bacterium RIFCSPHIGHO2_02_FTLL_44_7 rifcsphigho2_02_scaffold_200519, whole genome shotgun sequence.